rnacentral:rRNA from 1 species
CCUACGGGAGGCAGCAGUGGGGAAUAUUGCACAAUGGGCGCAAGCCUGAUGCAGCCAUGCCGCGUGUGUGAAGAAGGCCUUCGGGUUGUAAAGCACUUUCAGCGGGGAGGAAGGCGUUAAGGUUAAUAACCUUGGAGAUUGACGUUACCCGCAGAAGAAGCACCGGCUAACUCCGUGCCAGCAGCCGCGGUAAUACGGAGGGUGCAAGCGUUAAUCGGAAUUACUGGGCGUAAAGCGCACGCAGGCGGUCUGUCAAGUCGGAUGUGAAAUCCCCGGGCUCAACCUGGGAAGUGCAUUCGAAACUGGCAGGCUAGAGUCUUGUAGAGGGGGGUAGAAUUCCAGGUGUAGCGGUGAAAUGCGUAGAGAUCUGGAGGAAUACCGGUGGCGAAGGCGGCCCCCUGGACAAAGACUGACGCUCAGGUGCGAAAGCGUGGGGAGCAAACAGGAUUAGAUACCCGGGUAGUC